rnacentral:rRNA from 1 species
GAUGAACGCUAGCGGCAGGCCUAAUACAUGCAAGACGAACGGUAAGUUGAGUAGCAAUACUUAGCCAAGAGUGUCGUACGGGUGCGUAACACGUAUGCAACCUACCCUAUACAGGAGGAUAGCCUAGGGAAACCUGGAUUAACCCUUCAUAGUAUUAUUGGAUGGCAUCAUUUGAUAAUUAAAACUGAGGUGGUAUAGGAUGGGCAUGCGUCUGAUUAGUUAGUUGGCGGGGUAAUGGCCCACCAAGACGAUGAUCAGUAGGGGUUCUGAGAGGAAGAUCCCCCCACACUGGCACUGAGAUACGGGCCAGACUCCUACGGGAGGCAGCAGUAGGGAAUAUUGGUCAAUGGAUGCAAGUCUGAACCAGCCAUGCCGCGUGCAGGAAGAAGGCCCUUCUGGGGUUGUAAACUGCUUUUGCCAGGGGAUAAAAUUUCCAUGCGUGGAAAACUGAAGGUACCUGGUGAAUAAGCCACGGCUAACUACGUGCCAGCAGCCGCGGUAAU